AGAGUUUGAUCAUGGCUCAGGAUGAACGCUAGCUACAGGCUUAACACAUGCAAGUCGAGGGGCAGCAUGUUGGUUGCUUGCAACCAAUGAUGGCGACCGGCGCACGGGUGAGUAACGCGUAUCCAACCUACCCUUGUCCAUCGGAUAACCCGUCGAAAGGCGGCCUAACACGAUAUGCGGUUCACAGCAAGGCAUCUAAGGUGAACGAAAUGUGAAGGAGAAGGAUGGGGAUGCGUCUGAUUAGGCGUUGUUGGCGGGGUAACGGCCACCAAGGCUACGAUCAGUAGGGGUUCUGACGAGGAAGGUCCCCCANAUUGGAACUGAGACACGGUCCAAACUCCUACGGGAGCA
rnacentral:rRNA from 1 species